AGUGAACGCUGGCGGUAGGCCUAACACAUGCAAGUCGAACGGCAGCACAGUAAGAGCUUGCUCUUACGGGUGGCGAGUGGCGGACGGGUGAGGAAUACAUCGGAAUCUACUUUUUCGUGGGGGAUAACGUAGGGAAACUUACGCUAAUACCGCAUACGACCUACGGGUGAAAGCAGGGGAUCUUCGGACCUUUCGCGAUUGAAUGAGCCGAUGUCGGAUUAGCUAGUUGGCGGGGUAAAGGCCCACCAAGGCGACGAUCCGUAGCUGGUCUGAGAGGAUGAUCAGCCACACUGGAACUGAGACACGGUCCAGACUCCUACGGGAGGCCGCAGUGGGGAAUAUUGGGCAAUGGGCGCAAGCCUGAUCCAGCCAUACCGCGUGGGUGAAGAAGGCCUUCGGGUUGUAAAGCCCUUUUGUUGGGAAAGAAAAACAGCAGGUUAAUACCCCGCUGUUCUGACGGUACCCAAAGAAUAAGCACCGGCUAACUUCGUG
rnacentral:rRNA from 1 species